rnacentral:rRNA from 1 species
CCUACGGGAGGCAGCAGUGGGGAAUAUUGCACAAUGGGGGAAACCCUGAUGCAGCGACGCCGCGUGAGUGAAGAAGUAUUUCGGUAUGUAAAGCUCUAUCAGCAGGGAAGAAAAUGACGGUACCUGAUUAAGAAGCCCCGGCUAACUACGUGCCAGCAGCCGCGGUAAAACGUAGGGGGCAAGCGUUAUCCGGAUUUACUGGGUGUAAAGGGAGCGUAGGCGGGAGCACAAGUCUGGUGUGAAAUGCGGGGGCUGAACCCCGGGUCUGCUUUGGAAACUGUGCAGCUAGAGUGCGGGAGAGGUAAGCGGAAUGCCUGGUGUAGCGGUGAAAUGCGUAGAUAUUAGGAAGAACACCAGUGGCGAAGGCGGCUUACUGGACUGUAACUGACGUUGAGGCUCGAAAGCGUGGGGAGCAAACAGGAUUAGAUACCCUUGUAGUC